rnacentral:lncRNA from 1 species
AUUGUGCCCCUCUACUCAGCUCUUGUGAGGCCCCAUCUGGAGUACUGCCUCCAGGCCUGUGGUCCCCAGUACAGGAAGGACGUGGAGCUUUUGGAGCGGGUCCAGAGGAGGGCCACUAAGAUGAUCAGAGGGCUGGAGCACCUCUCUUGCAAAGAAAGGCUGAGGGAACUGGGCUUGUUUAGUUUGGAGAAGAGAAGGCUCCAGGGAGACCUCAUUGUGACCUUCCAGUACUUGAAGGGAGCAUAUAAACAGGAGUGGAAAUGGCUGUUAAUGAGCGUGGAUAGUGAUAGGACAAGGGGGAAUGGUCUUAAACUGAGACAGGGGAGGUUUAGGUUAGAUAUUAGGAGGAAGUUUUUCACACAGAGGGUGGUGACGCACUGGAACAGGUUGCCCGAGGAGGCUGUGGAUGCCCCAUCCCUGGAGGCAUUCAAGGCCAGGCUGGAUGUGGCUCUGGGCAGCCUGGUCUGGUGGUUGGCGACCCUGCACAUAGCAGGGUCCUUUUCAAUUCAUUGUGAUCCUUUUCAACCCAGGCCAUUCUGUGAUUCUAUGAUUCUAUGAGUCUGUGAUUCUAUGAUUCUGUUAUUCUAUGAAUAGGGGGAGCCUUCAUGAGCUGUGGCUGUAGGAGUCUUAUUCACUCCUGAACAGAUCCGACAGCAGUUGUAAGAACAUGCUUGCAGGUUGGUG